rnacentral:rRNA from 1 species
UACGUAGGUGGCAAGCGUUGUCCGGAUUUACUGGGCGUAAAGGGCGUGCAGGCGGUUUGUUAAGUGCAGGGUGAAAGCUCCCGGCUCAACUGGGAGAGGUCCUUGCAUACUGGCAGACUUGAGGGAGGCAGAGGAAAGUGGAAUUCCCGGUGUAGUGGUGAUAUGCGUAGAGAUCCGGAAGAACACCGGUGGCGAAGGCGGCCUGCUGGGCAGUUGCUGACACUGAGGCGCGACAGCGUGGGGAGCAAACAGG